rnacentral:lncRNA from 1 species
GGAGACCCCGAAACUUUCCCGACGGCCGAAAUACCACUUCCUAUAUAUUAUUCUUUACCUCCGGACCAUUCCGAAACUCCUCGUGACGUCCGGGAUCUCAUCCGGGACUCCGAACAACAUUCGGUAGUCACAUACUAGUCUUCCUACUAACCCUAGCGUCACCGAACCUUAAGUGUGUAGACCCUACGGGUUCUGGAGACAUGCAGACAUGACCGAGACGACUCUCAGGCAAUAACCAACAGCGGGAUCUGGAUACCCAUGUUGGCUCCCACAUGUUCCUCGAUGAUUUCAUCGGUUGAACCAAGAUGUCAAGGAUUUGAUCAAAACCCUGUAUGCAAUUCCCUUUGUCAAUCGGUACGUUACUUGCCCGAGACUCGAUCGUCGGUAUCCCAAUACCUUGUUUAGUCUCGUUACCGGCAAGUCACUUUACUCGUACCGUAAUGCAUAAUCCCAUGGCCAACACCUUGGUCACAUUGCGCUCAUUAUGAUGAUGCAUUACCGAGUGGGCCCAGAGAUACCUCUCUGUCAUACGGAGCGACAAAUCCCAGUCUCGAUCCGUGUCAACCCAACAGAUACUUUCGGAGAUGCCUGUAAUGCACCUUUAUAGUCACCCAGUUACGUUGUGACGUUUGAUACACCCAAGGCACUCCUACGGUAUCCGGGAGUUACACGAUCUCAUGGUCGAAGGAAGAGAUACUUGACAUUGGCAAAGCUCUAGCAAACGAACUACACGAUCUUUUAUGCUAUGCUCAGGAUUGGGUCUUGUCCAUCACAUCAUUCUCCCAAUGAUGUGAUCCCGUUAUCAACAACAUCUAAUGUCCAUAGUCAGGAAACCAUGACCAUCUGUUGAUCACAACGAGCUAGUCAACUAGAGGCUCACUAGGGACAUAUUGUGGUCUAUGUGUUCACACGUGUAUUACGAUUUCCGGAUAAUACAGUUAUAGCAUGAACAAAAGACAAUUAUCAUGAACAAUGAAAUAUAAUAAUACUUUUAUUAUUGCCUCUAGGGCAUAUUUCCAACAGUCUCCCACUUGCACUAGAGUCACUAAUCUAGUUACAUUGUGAUGAAUCGAACACCCAUAGAGUUCUGGUGUUGAUCAUGUUUUGCACGCGAGAGAGGUUUAGUCAACGGAUUUGCGACAUUCAGAUCCGUGCGCACUUUGCAAAUCUCUAUGUCUCCAUCUUGAACAUUUUCACGGAUGGAGUUGAAACGACGCUUGAUGUGCCUGGUCUUCUUGUGAAACCUGGGCUCCUUAGCAAGGGCAAUAGCUCCAGUGUUGUCACAGAAGAGUUUGAUCGCCCCCGACGCAUUGGGUAUGACUCCUAGGUCGGUGAUGAACUCCUUCACCCAAAUCGCUUCAUGCGCUGCCUCCGAGGCUGCCAUGUACUCCGCUUGACAUGUAGAUCCCGCCACGACGCUCUGCUUGCAGCUGCACCAGCUUACUGCUCCACCAUUCAACAUAUACACGUAUCCGGUUUGUGACUUAGAGUCAUCCAGAUCUGAGUCGAAGCUAGCGUUGACGUAACCCUUUAUGACGAGCUCUUCGUCUCCUCCAUAAACGAGAAACAUGUCCUUUGUCCUUUUCAGGUACUUUAGGAUAUUCUUGACCGCUGUCCAGUGUUCCUUGCCGGGAUUACUUUGGUAUCUUGCUACCAAACUUACGGCAAGGUUUACAUCGGGUCUGGUACACAGCAUGGCAUACAUAACAGAUCCUAUGGCUGAAGCAUAGGGGAUGACACUCAUCUCUUCUUUAUCUUUUGCCGUGGUCGGUGAUUGAGCUGAGCUCAAUCUCACACCUUGUAACAUAGGCAAGAACCUUUUCUUGGAUUGAUCCAUUUUGAACCUCUUCAAAAUCUUAUCAAGGUAUGUGCUUUGUGAAAGACCUAUGAGGCGUCUCGAUCUAUCUCUAUAGAUCUUGAUGCCUAAUAUAUAAGCAGCUUCUCCAAGGUCCUUCAUUGAAAAACACUUAUUCAAGUAGGCCUUAAUGCUGUCCAGAAGUUUCGUAUCAUUUCCCAUCAAGAGUAUGUCAUCUACAUAUAAUAGGAGAAAUGCUACAGAGCUCCCACUCACUUUCUUGUAAACGCAGGCUUCUCCAUAAGUCUGCAUAAACCCAAACGCUUUGAUCAUCUCAUCAAAGCGAAUGUUCCAACUCCGAGAUGCUUGCACCAGUCCAUAAAUGGAUCGCUGGAGCUUUCAUACUUUGUUAGCGUUCUGAGGAUCGACAAAACCUUCCGGCUGCAUCAUAUACAGCUCUUCCUUAAGAUGUCCGUUAAGGAAUGCCGUUUUGACGUCCAUCUGCCAUAUCUCAUAAUCAUAGUAUGAGGCAAUUGCUAACAUGAUUCAGACGGACUUAAGCUUCGCUACGGGAGAGAAUGUCUCGUCGUAGUCAAUCCCUUGAACUUGUCGAUGACCCUUAGCGACAAGUCGAGCUUUAUAGAUGGUAACAUUUCCAUCCGCAUCCGUCUUCUUCUUAAAAAUCCAUUUGUUUUCUAUCGCUCGCCGAUCAUCGGGCAAGUCUGUCAAAGUCCAUACUUUGUUUUCAUACAUGGAUUCUAUCUCGGAUUUCAUGGCUUCAAGCCAUUUGUUGGAAUCUGGGCCCGCCAUCGCUUCUUCAUAGUUCGAAGGUUCACCGUUGUCUAACAACAUGAUUUCCAGGACAGGGUUGCCGUACCACUCUGGUGCGGAACGUGUCCUUGUGGACCUACGAAGUUCAGUAGCAACUUGAUCCGAAGUACCUUGAUCAUCAUCAUUGGUUUCCUCUUCAGUUGGUGUGGGCAUCAUAGGAAUGGUUUCCUGCGCUGCACCACUUUCCCGUUCGAGAGGCAGUACUUCAUCGAGUUCUACUUUCCUCCCACUUACUUCUUUCGAGAGAAACUCUUUUUCCAGAAAGCAUCCGUUCUUGGCAACAAAGAUCUUGCCUUCGGAUCUUAAGUAGAAGGUAUACCCGACAGUUUCCUUAGGGUAUCCUAUGAAUACGCAUUUUUUCGACUUGGGUUUGAGCUUUUCAGGUUGAAGUUUCUUGACAUAAGCAUCGCAUCCCCAAACUUUUAGAAACGACAGCUUAGGUUUCUUCCCAAACCAUAAUUCAUACGGUGUCGUCUCAACGGAUUUAGACGGUGCCCUAUUUAAAGUGAAUGUAGCUGUCUCUAGAGCGUAUCCCCAAAAUGAUAGCGGUAAAUCGGUAAGAGACAUCAUAGACCGCACCAUAUCCAAUAGAGUGCGAUUACGACGUUCGGACACACCGUUUCGCUGAGGUGUUCCAGGCGGCGUGAGUUGUGAAACGAUUCCACAUUUCUUUAAGUGUGUACCAAAUUCGUGACUUAAGUAUUCUCCUCCACGAUCUGAUCGCAGGAACUUUAUCUUUCGGUCACGUUGAUUCUCCACCUCAUUCUGAAAUUCCUUGAACUUUUCAAAGGUCUCAGACUUGUGUUUCAUUAAGUAGACAUACCCAUAUCUACUCAAGUCAUCAGUGAGAGUGAGAACAUAAUGAUAUCCUCCGCGAGCCUCAACGCUCAUUGGACCGCACACAUCGGUAUGUAUGAUUUCCAACAAGUCGGUUGCUCGCUCCAUUGUCCCAGAGAACGGAGUCUUGGUCAUUUUGCCUAAGAGGCAUGGUUCGCAUGUGUCAAACGAUUCAUAAUCAAGAGACUCUAAAAGUCCAUCAGCAUGGAGCUUCUUCAUGCGCUUGACACCAAUGUGACCAAGGCGGCAGUGCCACAAGUAUGUGGGACUAUCGUUAUCAACUUUACAUCUUUUGGCAUCCACACUAUGAACAUGUGUAAUAUUACGCUCGAGAUUCAUUAAGAAUAAACCAUUGACCAUCGGAGCAUGACCAUAAAACAUAUCUCUCAUAUAAAUCGAACAACCAUUAUUCUCAGACUUAAAUGAGUAGCCAUCUCGUAUCAAACGAGAUCCAAAUACAAUGUUCAUGCUCAAACUUGGCACUAAAUAACAAUUAUUAAGGGUCAAAACUAAUCCCAUGGGUAAAUGUAGAGGCAGCGUGCCGACGGCGAUCACAUCGACUCUGGAACCAUUCCCGACGCGCAUCGUCACCUCGUCCUUCGCCAGUCUCCGUUUAUUCCGCAACUCCUGCUGUGAGUUACAAAUAUGAGAAACAGCACCGGUAUCAAAUACCCAGGAGUUAUUACGAGUACUGGUAAGGUACACAUCAAUUACAUGUAUAUCAAAUAUACCUUUGGUGUUGCCGGCCUUCUUAUCCGCUAAGUAUUUGGGGCAGUUCCGCUUGCAGUGACCCUUCCCCUUGCAAUAAAAGCACUCAGUCUCAGGCUUGGGUCCAUUCUUUGACUUCUUCCCGGCAACUGGCUUACCGGGCGCGGCAACAUCUUUGCCGUCCUUCUUGAAGUUCUUCUUCCCCUUGCCCUUCUUGAACUUAGUGGUCUUAUUGACCAUCAACACUUGAUGUUCUUUCUUGAUUUCAGCCUCUGCUGACUUCAGCAUCGAGUACACUUCAGGAAUGGUCUUCACCAUCCCCUGCAUGUUGUAGUUCAUCACAAAGCUCUUGUAGCUUGGUGGGAGCGACUGGAGGAUUCUGUCAAUGACCGCCUCAUCUGGGAGGUUAAUGUUCAGCUGGGUCAUACGGUUGUGCAACCCAGACAUCUUCAGGAUGUGCUCACUGACAGAACUGUUUUCCUCCAUCUUACAACUGUAGAACUUGUCGGAGACAUCAUAUCUCUCGACCCGGGCAUGAGCUAGGAAAACUAGUUUCAGCUCUUCGAACAUCUCAUAUGCUCCGUGAUGCUCAAAACGCUUUUGGAGCCCCGGUUCUAAGCUGUAGAGCAUGCCGCACUGAUAGAGGUAGUAAUCAUCAGAACGAGUCUGCCAAACGUUCAAAUCGUCUUGCAGUGCUGGGAGAACGGGUGGGUCACCUAACGGUGCUUCUAGGACAUAUUGUUUCUUGGCAGCUAUGAGGAUGAUCCUCAGGUUCCGGACCCAGUCCGUAUAGUUGCUGCCAUCAUCUUUCAGCUUGGUUUUCUCUAGGAACGCGUUGAAGUUCAUGUUGACAUUAGCGUUGGCCAUUGAUCUACAAGACAUAUUUGCAAAGGUUUUAGACUAAGUUCAUGAUAAUAAAGUUCUAAUCAAAAUUAUGAACUCCCACUUAGAUUAGACAUCCCUCUAGUCAUCUAAGUGUUACACGAUCCGAGUCGACUAGCCCGUGUCCGAUCAUCACGUGAGACGGACUAGUCAUCGUCGGUGAACAUCUUCAUGUUGAUCAUAUCUUCCAUACGACUCGUGUUCGACCUUUCGGUCUCCGUGUUCCGAGGCCAUGUCUGUACAUGCUAGGCUCGUCAAGUUGACCCUAAGUGUUUUCGCUGUGUAAAACUGUCUUACACCUAUUGUAUGUGAACGUAAGAAUCCAUCACACCCGAUCAUCACGUGGUGCUUAGAAACGACGAACUGUAGCAAUGGUGCACAGUUAGGGGGGAACACUUCUUGAAAUUUUGCAAGGGAUCAUCUUAUUUACUACUGUCGUCCUAAGUAAACAAGAUGCAUAAACAUAAUAAACAUCACAUGCAAUUAUAUAGUUGUGACAUGAUAUGGCCAAUAUCAUAAAGCUCCAUUGAUCUCCAUCUUCGGGGCUCCAUGAUCAUCUUGUCACCGGCUUGACACCAUGAUCUCCAUCAUCAUUAUCUCCAUCAUCGUGUCUUCAUGAAGUUGUCACGCCAGCGACUACUUCUACUUCUAUGACUAACGCGUUUAGUAAUAAAGUAAAGUAGUUUACAUGGCGAUCUUCAAUGACUCGCAGGUCAUACAAAAAAUAAAGACAACUCCUAUGGCUCCUGCCGGUUGUCAUACUCAUCGACAUGCAAGUCGUGAAUCCUGUUACAAGAACAUGAUCUCAUACAUCACAAUUCAUCAUUCAUCACAACUUCUGGCCAUAUCACAUCACAUGAUCAAUCGCUGCAAAAACAAGUUAGACGUCCUCUAAUUGUUGUUGCAUCUUUUACGUGGCUGCGAUUGGGUUCUAGCAAGAACGUUUUCUUACCUACGAAUCACCACAACGUGAUUUUGUCAACUUCUAUUUACCCUUCAUAAGGGCCCUGUUCAUCGAAUCCGCUCCAACUAAAGUGGGAGAGAUAGACACCCGCCAGCCACCUUAUGCAACUAGUGCAUGUCAAUCGGUGGAACCGGUCUCACGUAAGCGUAUGUGUAAGGUUGGUCCGGGCCGCUUCAUCCCACAAUACCGUUGAAGCAAGAAAAGACUAGUAGAGGCAAGUAAGUUGACAAGAUCAACGCCCACAACAAAUUGUGUUCUACUCAUGCAUUAAAGAACUACGCAUAAACCUGGCUCAUGAUGCCACUGUUGGGGAACGUUGCAGAAAAUUAAAUUUUUUCCUACGGUUUCACCAAGAUCCAUCUAUGAGUUCAUCUAAGCAACGAGUAUUGGGAGAGAGUUUGCAUCUACAUACCACUUGUAGAUCGCGUGCGGAAGCUUGCAAGGUGAUGAUGGAGUCGUACUCGACGUGAUUCAGAUCGCCGACGUCCAAGUGCUGAACGGACAACACCUCCGCGUUCAACACACGUACGGGAUGGGAGAUGUCUCCUCCUUCUUGAUCCAGCAAGGGGGAAGGAGACGUUGAGGAAGCUCGCUCCAACGGCAGCACGACGGCGUGGUGGUGUUGGUGCAGCAGUACUCCGACAGGGCUUCGCCAAGCGCUUGCGGAGGAGGAGAGGUGUUGGGGAGGGGAGGGGCUGCGCCUUGGAGAUGGGUACAGCAGCCCCCCCUCCCUCCCCCCCUUUAUAUAGCCCCCCAGGGGGGGAGCCGGCCCCUGGAGAUCCAAUCUCCAAGGGGGGGCGGCGGCCAAGGGGGUGGAGUGCCCCCCAAGCCAAGUGGGGCGCCCCCCCACCCCUAGGGUUUCAACCCUAGGCGCAGGGGGUGGGCCUAGGGGGGCGCACCAGCCCACUAUGGGCUGGUUCCCCUCCCACUUCAGCGCAUGGGGCCCUUCGGGAUAGGUGGCCCCACCCGGUGGACCCCCGGGACCCUUCCGAUGGUCCCGGUACAUUACCGGGAGACCCCGAAACUUUCCCGACGGCCGAAAUACCACUUCCUAUAUAUUAUUCUUUACCUCCAGACCAUUCCGAAACUCCUCGUGACGUCCGGGAUCUCGUCCAGGACUCCGAACAACAUUCGGUAGUCACAUACUAGUCUUCCUACUAACCCUAGCGUCACCGAACCUUAAGUGUGUAGACCCUACGGGUUCGGGAGACAUGCAGACAUGACCGAGACGACUCUCGGGCAAUAACCAACAGCGGGAUCUGGAUACCCAUGUUGGCUCCCACAUGUUCCUUGAUGAUUUCAUCGGUUGAACCACGAUGUCGAGGAUUCGAUCAAAACCCU